ACUCCUACGGGAGGCAGCAGUGGGGAAUAUUGCACAAUGGGGGAAACCCUGAUGCAGCCAUGCCGCGUGUGUGAAGAAGGCCUUCGGGUUGUAAAGCACUUUCAGUAGGGAGGAAGGUAGUGUAGUUAACACCUGCAUUAUUUGACGUUACCUACAGAAGAAGCACCGGCUAACUCCGUGCCAGCAGCCGCGGUAAUACGGAGGGUGCGAGCGUUAAUCGGAAUUACUGGGCGUAAAGCGCAUGCAGGCGGCCUGUUAAGUCAGAUGUGAAAGCCCGGGGGCUUAACCUCGGAAUUGCAUUUGAAACUGGCAGGCUAGAGUCUUGUAGAGGGGGGUAGAAUUUCAGGUGUAGCGGUGAAAUGCGUAGAGAUCUGAAGGAAUACCAGUGGCGAAGGCGGCCCCCUGGACAAAGACUGACGCUCAGAUGCGAAAGCGUGGGGAGCAAACAGGAUUAGAUACCCUGGUAGCACAGAG
rnacentral:rRNA from 1 species